UACGAAGGGGGCUAGCGUUGCUCGGAAUCACUGGGCGUAAAGCGCACGUAGGCGGCUUUUUAAGUCAGGGGUGAAAUCCGGAGCUCAACUCCAGAACUGCCUUUGAUACUGGGAAGCUUGAGUCCGGAAGAGGUGAGUGGAACUCCGAGUGUAGAGGUGAAAUUCGUAGAUAUUCGGAAGAACACCAGUGGCGAAGGCGGCUCACUGGUCCGGUACUGACGCUGAGGUGCGAAAGCGUGGGGAGCAAACAGG
rnacentral:rRNA from 1 species